CAACUGGGAGAUAAGAGACAAAGAAGCAAGGCGAGGUGACAAGGGAACAAGGAGACAGGAAGAGGAGUCACUUACUCCUUGUGCUCAGGAUGGAGGUCUGACAGGACUAUGUGAUGACAUCACCCGAAACAGAAGAGCUGAGGAAAGGUAGGAAAUCGACACAGCUGAUGACAGGUGUGGCCGAAUGAAGCAGAGAUCAUUCAGCCAAUCAAGGAGCAGCAUCGCUCACAAGCUAAAGGAAGUGAAGCAUUCAAAGCUGUGGCCAAUCACAGGGCAGUACUACAUUAAUGCUACAUUAAUGCUACAUUAAUGCUACACUACUACUGCAGCCAGCGGCAAUGUUACUGUAGUGACGAGCUCUACCUGUGUGUGUACCACUGUUGGCUUUGGGGUACGUGAUGGCCGGAGAGCCAAUGAGAAAGGACGUGGGCGUGGUCCUCGAAGCUGAGGACCAAUCAAAGCUCUGGUCAUCAACAGGGAGUCCAGAGACCAGGAACACUACAACGGGGACAAGCACUACCGCAGGGACCGCCACCACUACUAAGAAUGAGAUGGGUACAACUACCACGGCCAGUUCCUCAUAUUGGUGACUGUGGCUCAGGUGGAGGAGCAGUACUUUCUAUCAUAACAAGGCUGGUGGUUUGACGCCUUGUCCACAUGGCUUCUCCUCAGGAGCCUCACAGGAGACCAGUGCUAACAGAAGAGGUCACAUGUAUUUGACAAUUCAAACACUGCUUUUACCAGGAAAAAAACUCCCGGCAAGUACUUUUCCUACGAGUACCAGGACCACCUGGUACUAGCGUGAUCAGCACCAGUACCUC